rnacentral:tRNA from 1 species
AGGGUUAUAGUUAAUUAUAACAUUUAAUUUGCAUUUAAAAAGUAUUGAAAAAAAAUCAAUUUACCUU